CAUAGUAUGAGGAGGUAGAGCCUGGCACAGUAGCCACAAGGAGGAAAGCAGCUUAAGAAUUAAGCCCACCGUUGGUGGGGAUGUAAAAUGGUGUAGCAGCAAUGGAAAAGUCCGGUGGUUCCUCAAAAAAUUAAAGAUACAAUUACCAUAUGAUCCAGCAACUCCAUCUCUAGUUAUGAUCUAAGUCAUCCCCGCUGCCAUAUUGUACUUGAAAGAAGACAUUACCAUCAGCUUCCAGAAAACCAACCAGGGGAGCUUCCAGUCCAGCACCUUCCUCUCCAUCAGCCAUCCCAGUGACUUCAUCCAACCCCACGUGUGCACGAAAGAGUUGAUUCAGCAGGUCUGGGAUCUUCAAACCCUGCACAUUCCAAAGAAAGUUCUGGCCCUUGCCUGUCUCAUAGAAGACAACCUCUAAGCUCUUAGAAUAUCCUGCUGAGAGCAUCCUGGUCAGGAGAGAACGCCACCUGCAGAGACAACAGUAUGAAAAACUCUACCCACUACACUACUCUACACUGCACCACGCAACUGAGUCCCUCAUCCCCAAAUAGGUACUCCAGGCCCCCCUCGGAGACACUGCGUGUUCAGUUCCAGGCCACCACAAUAAAAUGAAUGUCGCAAUAAAGUGAG